rnacentral:piRNA from 1 species
UCCAGGGCGACUGUUACCUCUUGGUAUCUGC